rnacentral:lncRNA from 1 species
AUUUUUAACAGUAUUUUGACAUCAUUUCAAUCACACAUUUUUCAAUAAAAUAAUAUUACACACAAAUUUAAAAUUUUCUUUUCUUUUAACCACACGUUUCACAUCAAUAUACUAUUCAAAAAUUCAUUCUAUCCCCUAAAAUGGGGCUCAAACAAGGGCACAUAUCGGCAUUAAAAAGGAAGACUUACUGUUGAAGUCCACACAUACCCAUCGCCUAUUUCUUCCUAAGUCUGCCAUUGAAUUAUCUUCACGUUUCCAAACCAUUCACAAGGCAGAUUGGUUUCUUCAGAGUUGGUUUUUGACUUUGAGAGGUAAAACUCCAUGUCUUUCAGAAUAACUAAUUAUUAAUUUUGAAUUUUCAUACAAUUUAUUUUUCUUGAAUCAUCCUUUCCUUAUGUUAUCAUACAAAUAUUUUGAUGUGCUUAUUGUCAUCCUUUCCUAGAGUCAAGAUCUAAAUGCUAUAAUUUUAUCUUCUUCCUUUUCUGUUCUGUUACUAAUAAUAAAGAGCUUGUUUCUUCCUAAGUUUGCCUCUGAAUUAUCUUCACAUUUCCAUUCCAUUCAUCAGCUGGGAAACAAUUACAAGAACACAAGGCAGAUUGGUUUCUCUUCUCUUCCGGCUCAUCAGCUUCUUUCAGUUAAAACUCCAGUGUUAAUUUUGACUUUGAGAGGUAAAUAACACCUUGUCUUUUAUAAUAACUAAUUAUUAAUUUUGAAUUUUCAUACAAUUUAUUUUUCUUGCAUCAUCCUUUCCUUAUGUUAUUGUGAUGUAUUUAAUGGUGUGUACUAGACCUGAUUUAGCUUUUACUGUUAGUACACUUAGCAGGUAUAUGUCAAACCCUGGUCCCACGCAUUGGGAAGCUUUGAAAUGGUUGUUUAAAUAUUUGAAAGGAACAUGCAAUGUUGGUUUAGUAUAUAAGUUUAUAUCUCUAACUACCAAGUCCAUCUUUUAAUUCGGUAUUGAGCACCUAGCCCUAAUGGGCCGAUUCCCUCUAAAUACCUAACUUAAUUGGGUUACUACAAUUGUGGUGUGGAUCUUUAAUACAUAUUUCAAUCCCGGGCUUAAAGCCUAUGAAACAAACGGGUCUCGAUUUUUUAUCAUUGCCUAGGGGGUUGUUUGGGCAUCACUAAAAUACCUAACAACCUCCACCUUGAUGCCAGAACAACCUGCAAGUCAAAUAAGAUAACAAAUAGCUUAAGUAAAGAGACUUACAAUUUUGUACCGAUAUUUAGAAGAUCAAGGCAACUUCUAAACUUUGCCAAUGGGAGCACUUUAGUUCCCAUAUCUGCAGGAUUGUACUCUGAAAGGAUUUUCUCAAGUUUUACCGGUUCUUGAGAAACCAUAUCUCUAAUGAAAUGCAAUUUAACAUCUAUAUGUUUAGUACGUUCAUGAAAGACAGGAUUUUUGCAUAAGUGAAUAGUAGAUUGACUAUCAGAAUAUAUUGUCACGUCAUUAUCAAGAACACCUAGUUCAUUUAACAUACCUUUAAACCACAUAGAUUCUUUAAAGGUUUCAGUAGCAGCAAUAUAUUCAGAUUCAGUAGUAGAUAAUGCAACAACAUGUUAAAGUUGUGAUUUCCAGCUAAUACAUGAUUCACACAAAGUAAAUACAUAGGAAGAUGUAGAUUUCCUAUUAUCUCUAUCACUAGCAUAAUUAGCAUCAGUAAAGCCUUUCAAUUUUACUCCUUCAGUACUAAACUUAUAUACUAAACCAACAUUGCAUGUUCCUUUCAAAUAUUUAAACAACCAUUUCAAAGCUUCCCAAUGCGUGGAACCAGGGUUUGACAUAUACCUGUUAAGCGUACUAACAGUAAAAGCUAAAUCAGGUUUAGUACACACCAUUAAAUACAUCACAGAACCGAUGGCAUUCGAAUAUGGAACAUUUUUCAUAUAUUCCUCUUCCUCUUUAUUAGCAAGUGAUUGUUCCUUAGAUAACACAAAGUGAUUGCCCAAAGGCUAAGAAACAGGUUUACAUUCAAUCAUGCCAAACUUUUUCAAAAUUUUCAUAAUGUAUGGAGCCUGAUGCAAAAGCAACAAUGAAUUUGACCUAUCUCUUUUAAUCUCCAUGCCUAAGAUCCUUUUAGCAUUACCUAGGUCUUUCAUAUCAAAUUCAUUACUCAAAGUAGUUUUUAUACUGUUUAACAACUUUAAGUUGGGACCAAUCAAAAGCAUAUCAUCCACGUAUAGAAACAGAAACACAUAGUUAUUAUUCAUACUGCCUUGAUAGUACAAGCAAUGAUCAAAUUCACUCCUUUUAAAACCAAUUGUUUGAACAAACGAAUCAAAACGUUUGUACCACUGUCUAGGAGAUUGUUUUAAACCAUAUAGAGAGCGUUUUAGAAAACACACAUGAUUAGGUUUUUGUUUGUUUUCAAAACCCUUAGGUUGAUCCAUAAAAAUCUUUUCAUCAAGUUCACCAUGCAGAAAAGCAGUUUUAACAUCAAGUUGUUCAAGUUCCCAAUUAAAAUGCGCAACUAAUGCAAGCAUAGUCCUAAUUGUGGUAUACUUAACAACUGGAGAAAAGAUCUCNCAGGUUGAUUUUUUAUUGAGCGUAGGAAAAAAGGUAGUAGUGAAGCAAUUAGAGCUGGAAAAUUAUAAAGGUCUAAUGAAAUUGUAAAAGAAGAAAAAUAAAUUGAACACGAGGAUGCUAAUCUCUAGUAUUGAAAUAAAAUGUCGUAAUCCAAUAGCUCUAAAUUGUAUUCACUAAUGUGAAUUCCAUACAUAGGCUUGUCAUCCCAACUCCUUCACGCGUGUGAUUCUCUAAUCUACGCUAGAAGUUAGUCAACUAAACAAGUAGAGAAUAAUAUAUCUACUCCUAAGAGAUAAUAAUCGCGGGCUUGAAUUGCAAUUGGUAGUCGGCAGUAGAGGACUCGAAGCAAGUGCCAAAUAUGAGAGGUGAGAGUAGGCUCAACGAACGAUUUUUCACCACUUUAUCGCUGGGUAUUCCUUCAAUGUUCAUUGAAACGCUGGCAUGAAGGAGUCAGUGAUGGGUUUUUCAAUCGUCAGGUAAGUGGAUUUUGACAAAGCCAAAAAUUAAGUGAAGGAUUCAGGGAUGGGUUUUGUAAAUGCAAAGCCAAAAAUUGACUUCUAGUUCAAUUUCCUCUUAAUAAAUAAAUACAGUAGUAUAUUGAUUUUUUUCCCUUCUAUUUUCUCUCUAUUUUAUAAUAUUUUAUAAAUUGUAAUGAAUAUUAUAGACUACGGUUAAAAAGGCAUCAUAAUUAUUAUAUCCUCAUAAAUUUUAUGAAAGCAUCUCCACGCUUCAGUGGAUUCCUACAAAAGAUUACCGCAUAUUCUCUCAAAUAAAAAAUGAUAGGACAUCUAUCAAGUUGAUGUAGCAAAGAAAAAUUACACAAUAUAUAGAGUUCCAUAUGGAGUCGAAGUCUUGUUAUAUAAGUAUUUUAACUUAUUGGCACCUAGAUAGUAAUUCGUAGACUGUAUUGAUGAGUAUAUAUAUGGCUUUAUAUCUAAUAAAUAGAUACUCGAUACCAUUUUUCUAAGUCACAUGGGCUAAUAAAGAUACUAAAAAAUAUAAUAAAAAAUCUAAACAUGGUAUAUCUUAUCUUUGGCGGAAUUCCUAAUAUUCACAUUGGAAAUAAUUUUUUUGAAUAUCGCCUAUUUUACUUCUCCACGAUUACGUUGGAGAGACUCGAAUACACGUGAAGCGAAAAUAAAAUUCAAGAUUUUAUACAUAGCUCUUCAAAAUAAUCCAAAUUAACUGCAACCUAAAAAAUCAAAACAAGAUCACAAAUUUGUCUCCUCGAAAUAAGAAUUUAUGAAUAGUAAGAAGUAAAAUAUAUAUAGACUUGUCUGCACCGCCCAAUAUUUAAACAAAUUAAUUCUGACAAAGGACUCCCAAGUAUUGCUUAUCAGGCAUUGGUGACAUGGUGGGACUGAAGAUGAAUGUUGACAAGUCUAGCUUGUAUAUCACGGGAGUGCAUGGGAAAGAGUUGGAGGAUAUUCUUUAUCUUACUAACAUUCCCAAGGAUUCCAUGCCAUUUCACUAAUUGAGGAUCCUACUUGCGGUGAAAAAAUUGAAAAUUAGCUCCUAUGAUGUUUUCAUCAACAAAAUCUCAUCAUUCGUUGGUGUAUAGUCUAGUACUUCACUAUCUAAUGCAGGGAGAGCUAAGCUUGUGAGAACCUUUCUUUAAGGUGUGGAAUGUUUUUCAUUGUCCAAUUUUCCCAUUCCAACUGCAGUUGCCUUUAAAAUCACUAGCUUAUGCCAGAACUUCCUCUGGGGAGCCAAAAAGCCAUUGGUUUCUUGAAGCAAAAUUUGCCUACUAAAGUACGAAGGAGGACUUGGUUUUAGAGAUAUUAAAAGAAGGAAUUGUGUGCUACUUUCAAAAACUCCUUGGAACAUCCAUAGCAAAAAGAUACUCUUUGGAUAAAAUGGGUUAAUCAAGUAUAUCUUUGUGGAUGAACAUUUGGGAGUACGUGGCAAAAAAUAAAAUAAAAAAUGAUUCUCCUUUAGUAAAAGAAGUGCUGGAAAUCAGGGACCAAUCAUGGGGCCUGAAUGCAAAUUUCAGGCUGGUGUAGACAGGUUGUGGGACUGGAUAGAGGCAAACAAUUUCAGUAUUACGGCUGCCUAUGAUUUUUUUAGGCCAAGGGAUGCUAGGGCAGUAUGGGCAGAUAUGGUUUGGAAUACAUCCAUCAUACCCAAGCAUGCUUUCAUUCUUUGAUUAGGUGUUAAGUCCAAAUUACUAACUAAAGAUAAAAUUCAGCACUUGAAAUUAGACCAAGUAUGUUCAUUUUUUGUAGAAAUGGAGGAAACAACAUAGCACAACACUUUUUUUUCUCCCGCUCAUUCAAUAGUUCUAUCUGGGGACAAAUUCGUAGAUGGUUGGCCUUUAGACGCACUAUGUCUACUUACCAAGUGCAUUGAAAUGGAUUAAAAAGAAAGUCCGGGGAACAACUUGGCAAAGCAAAGCAAAGUUAAAUGAAUUGCACUUGCUGCUUCCAUCUACUAUAUUUGGAUUGCAAGGACUAGGUAGAUUUUUGAAUAUCUUAGGUCACAAGUGGAUUACAUUGGAAGACGGAUUAAAACGCAUGUAUACAAAAUUAUGUUUACUUUGUAUCCACACGUUUUAAUUGAUUUUGAGUCCUUAGCUUUUAUUGUCUAUAUAUCUUUUCAUUGUGUUAACCCGAGUAUGUCUGGAGUAUUUGUAAUCGUCACUUGAGCUAUGUUCACCCAAGAACGCCUGUUGUACUUGUAUAUGAGUUUUGAUCGAUAGAAUUUAUAUUUAUCAAUCAGAAAAAUAAUUUUGCAGCUAGCCAAUACGAAUUGGAGGACGUAUUUUAACGAUGCUAGGCAGCCGAUAUAAUCCUUGUGCAGCUUUCUUUAAGAAGAAAAUUGGGCAGCUUGAAGUCUUAACUAGAAAGGAAUAGUCAAAGUUUUCGGCUGGACACUUCACAAUUAAGAUAAACUUAUCAUUCGCAAUACUUUUGGGAAAUUUCUAAGAAAGACUUGCUGAUUUUUAACAGGCUUGUUGAUUUGAGAUAAAGAUAGCCGCACUCUGCUUCCUUCGGAAUAUGCUACGCUUGUGUUCUUGUUGCACACCUUUGUCCCUUAGAACUUCCUUUGACAGAAUUUGUAUCUUUGCCACGAACAUGACAAAAUACUAAAAAAUAAAUUAACGUAGUCGACCUAGCAAUCAAAUUUCAUUUAUCUCUAUUCAUCUAUUAUUUACUUCAUCCACCUCUUAUUUUCUUCACUAGUUUUUUUUUGACGUCGGCAUUCAUCAUAUCUUGUCUAAUUAAUUUUUAUUACAUCUUUAUAUAAUAUUCAAUGCUACCAAAGUGGAAAAGAAUAGCCCAUUAUAUCUAUUUUCGGCCUUAAUGUUUUAAAUGUCACUCUUCUUGGAUUGAUAUUUACAAUAUUAGGGAUAGGUAAAAUAUUCUAAUGAAAAAAUGUUAAUUAGUCAAGCUGCCAAUUAAUAAUAUUCAUCAUACUAAUCUUUGUAGAAUCCAUGGACCGGUCAAAUAAGAAAUUUCUACUAAAUUAUCAUGUCUAAAGUUGAUUUAGUCCUUGUGUAAUAAAACUUGAAAGAAAAAUGCUAAAGGUACAUUUUCACUUACCUAUGGUUGACAUUUCCUCCUGUGUGGUACAAUCAAGACUAUGUCGUCAAAGAUCAUUCGACAAAUCAAAAGAUGUUACGGAGUCAUAUGAAAGAAUGUAAGGGUCUGUUUGAUUGCAAAGAUGGAAUUGAAUUGGGUGGAAAGCGAAUUUCAGGAAAUUGAGUUGCCUAGAAUUGUUUUUCUGGAAAUUAUAAAUUAUUGUGUUAGAUUGGUAUAAUUUUUCACAUAGAAAAUGUUGAAAUAAAAGUAUUUUUUGAUAUUCGUUUGACUUUGUUUUACAUGAAAAUUGUCAAUCAAAAGGAUAGAAUUUACUGGUAUUGAGGAUGACAUUGGUUUCCAUUGUCAACAAGCAAAAAAUAAAAAUAAAAAUAAAUAAUAAAUAAAAAAAUUCAAGAAAAUCAUCUAUUUUUUAGUGUUUGUUUGACUUUGUUUUAUAUGAAAAUUAUCAAUGAAAGAGAAAUAUUUUUUUACAAUAAUUCUUAGAAUUAGUUUCCAUUGCUUAAAAAAAAAAAAAAAAACCAAAAAAAAAAAAUCGCUAUAGUAGUCGGGAUGGUGAGAAUUGGAAUUCCACCAAAUCAAGGAAUAACACAACUUCCAAUAAAAGUUAGAAACCAAUUCCAUGAAAAAUCUUGUGAAUCAAACACUACAUUUUGGGUGGAAAAUAUUUCCAUGGAAUUGGGUGAAUCAAACACACCCUUAGGGUAAAGGAAAAAAAUGUUCCUUGAUUGAACUUAAAAUGAGCUUUUCUUUUUCUUUCUUUUUUUAAUAAGUAAAAUACGAUAUUUUGAAAAAAAUCAAAUCUUAAAUAAAUUAUUCAGGAAAUUGGCCCUCCUCCAUUCAUUUCUGAGAAUAUCAAAUGUUCAUAUUCCCCGUUUUUUUUUAUUUCCAUAAUUGCCCUCGAGUUAGAUGGUCAAAUGACAACAAUGCCCUGGAUAUAAAUACUCCAUCCACCCUAAUUAGAGGUAGUUUCGUCAAUUCCACAAUGUGGUGGACUGGCCCAAAAACAGUUCGCCAACCAUGUGACAGAAAAGCUAUAUAAUGUGAGCAUUUCUAUUCAAUUGUGGGCCAACAAUCAAACUUUUAUAAACCACUUUCUACGAAAGUUCUUUGUUAGUGCAGGGUUACUACCAUUAACACUUAGGAAUCCAUCCAAAUUGAUGAUAAGAUAAAUAUUACUGUCUCUUGAACACUUUUUAGCCUCUAAUUAAUAGGAUUAGAAUUUUAAUUUUAAUUAAAAUUAAAAGUCAACAAUUAAUUUAAAUCACAUAUUUUAUGGAGAUCAUAAUUUUUCAAGUACACAUUUCAUCAACUUUUAUCAAAAUCUACUAAAAAUUUGAUUUUAAUCCCUACUGAACAGGAGCUUACCAUCAAAAUAGUCUAUUAGCAAUAACUAUAAUUUUACUUAAACGUCAAUUAAUUAAUUAACUAAACUUCAGUUUGCUUCAAUCAUUGAAAAAGGCUAUAUUUAUUAAUAACAUAAGCCAAUUGGAACUUAUAUCAGCAUUAAAAAAGAAAACUUACUGUCGAAGUCCACUCAUACCUAUCCAGGAACCUAACCUGUUUCUUCCUAAGUCUGCCGCUGAAUUAUCUUCACAUUUCCAUUCCAUUCAUCAGCUGGGAAACAAUUACAAGAACACAAGGCAGAUUGGUUUCUCUUCUCUGCCGGCUCAUCAGCUUCUUUCAGUUAAAACUCCAGUGUUAAUUUUGACUUUGAGAGGUAAAUAACACCAUGUCUUUUAGACUAACUAAUUAUUAAUUUUGAAUUUUCAUACAAUUUAUUUUUCCUGCAUCAUCCUCUGCUAAUGUUAUUAUACAAAGAUUUUGAUAUGCUUAUUGUCAUCCUUUCCUAGAGUCAAGAUCUAAAUGCUAUAAUAUUAUCUUCUUGAGUUUUAUAUAUUAUAUUAUAUAGUAGAAAAUAAGUUUUCAGAAAAAAAAAAAAGAAUUUUCAGAAAUUGAGUGCUAAUUAAGUGGAAGUAAUAAUAUAUGAACAGUCAGGUAUUUCACUUCCAUAUACUUGUACAAAUGUUUCUUUGACGAGGUUUACAACAGAUAUACCAAAAAAUUCCUGGAAAGAAUUAGAAAAAUAAACAUUAAAUAUGAUUAAUUUCACGUAGAAAAUGUAAUUUACCAAAUAACCAAGCAAAAAAGUUGACGUAGCCGUAACUCUAACAAUAAUUUUUUUUCGAGUGAAAAUAAUAUAUCGAAUUAUUAUAAUCCAAUCCACGUUGUCAAUCAAAUUAUCUAGAAUAGGAUUGUAUGGAGUGUGUGGGAAAUUUCAUAGGAUUCACAAGCGUAUACAUAAUUUGUUUUUUUUUUCCCUGUUGAAAAAUGCAAUUUACAUUUCCUUAACAUCUCGCCAUUGAAGAUUUUUUCGUCCAGUUUAGAGAUCUAAAUUACAAUUUAAAUCUAUUUUAUAUCACGAUUGGAGAUGCUCUUAUAACUCUUUUCUAUAGUUGGAGUUUCACCCAUAAUAUCAAUCUUCUAGCUAAUUUAUGCUUAUGGUGGCAUUAUUCUUCCACAUCGUCUUGGCCGAGUUUGUAUUUUGCCUUCAUUUUUCUGUGUAUAAACAAUCAGUAUAAAUUAAAUUAGAUGAAGACCAUAUUCAUGAUGAGAUGAUCAACAUGCAGGAAUGACAAUUAUACGAUAAAUAGUUCAUAUUGUUUAAACCAUUUUUAAUUAAUUGUUGUAUCGAUUUUUAAGUUUCAUCCUAUUAAGAUCAAACUCAGGGUCAACCUGCUCCA